rnacentral:lncRNA from 1 species
AGGCUCUGAAGUUUAUUCUAACCCAUCCCUGGAUGAAAACAAACAGGGAAUCGUUUAUGCUUCCCUGAAUCAUUCUAUCAUUGGUGUGAACCUAAGACAAGCAAGACCAGUGCAAGAAGCACCAACAGAAUAUGCUUCAGUAUGUGUGAGGAGUCAAAGCCGGUCCUGAUACCAACCAGCCAAAUGAUGGGCCUAUCACCUCGUCUGGCCCCAAGAGUUUGCCAAAUAUUCAUCAACUUGGGAAAUUUCAGUUCAAGGUGGUUUAUGGUGGUGCUUGUGUCUUAAUGGUCCAUAGAACAUAUGAUCAGAAUUCCUCCUGAUAACUUCUUUGGGAGAAUUUUAUAUUAUAGCCUUGAACAACAAAAUCUUCUCUCCAAAACUGUUUCAUAUUGUUAAUAGCACAAUAGUAGAACAUUUAAACUCAGCUAUAUUUUACCCAAUAUAUAAACUCAAUAUUUCCUUUGAGGCUAUCAGAGAGACUUGUGGAGAAGAGAGGUUUGUAUUAUCUGGAUCAAUUCACUACACACUCUUGAAAAGGAAAGAAUGUGCUAAUUUGAGUAACUAUAAAUAUAGUCACUGUGUGUUACCAGUCAAUAUUCUGUAAUUAGAAAUUU